GCCUUCGUGGUGUAAUGGUUAGCACACUCGGCGCAUAUUCGAGAAAUCUAAGUUCAAGUCCUUCUAGGGCA
rnacentral:tRNA from 1 species